CGGAGUUCAGUCUUCCCAGGCCCACCACUUUCAUCGAGUGAGCAUUCGUCUUCUGGUUACGGGGCCAUAGCUCAGCUGGGAGAGCGCGUGCUUUGCAAGCAUGAGGUCGUCGGUUCGAUCCCGUCUGGCUCCACCAGAUGGUUUGAUCGCCGAGAUCUUGCACCGUCGUCCGCGAAACAUCGCUUCGCAUCCUGCUAGUCUGGAUAGACAGCAAGAUGCGUGUUUUCUGACAUCGUAAAGAGGAGAUCGAUCCGAGUUGGGUCGUGCAGCCAUUGUUGCGCGAAUCCUUCAUUAUCUCCGGAUCAUUUUCGGCGCUCGCUUUCAGCCGUGAGGUUGAAUGCGAGUUGUAAAAUGAUCCUUUUAGCGAAGCUUGACCGCCUCGCUAUCGGAACGAUCUUACGAAGCAAGCUGGUCUUUCUAUUCAAUGUCCGGCUGCAGAUAGCGUUCGUCGAGGGCGCGUGCCGCAAGGCAAUUCUGCAGACAACAUUCUGCCGAGUGUGUGGACAUUGAUAAUGAGAGCAAUCAAGUGCCUUAAGGGUGUUCGGUGGAUGCCUUGGCGCUGAGAGGCGAUGAAGGACGUGCUACGCUGCGAUAAGCCGUGGGGAGCUGCGAAGAAGCUUUGAUCCGCGGAUUUCCGAAGGGGAAAACCCCGGAA
rnacentral:misc_RNA from 1 species